GACGAACGCUGGCGGCGUGCUUAACACAUGCAAGUCGAACGCUGAAGCCCUGGCUUUUGUUGGGUUGGAUGAGUGGCGAACGGGUGAGUAACACGUGAGUAACCUGCCCUCUUCUUUGGGAUAACGCCCGGAAACGGGUGCUAAUACUGGAUAUUCACUGAUCUUCGCAUGGGGGUUGGUGGAAAGGUUUGUUCUGGUGGGGGAUGGGCUCGCGGCCUAUCAGCUUGUUGGUGGGGUGAUGGCCUACCAAGGCUUUGACGGGUAGCCGGCCUGAGAGGGUGACCGGUCACAUUGGGACUGAGAUACGGCCCAGACUCCUACGGGAGGCAGCAGUGGGGAAUAUUGCACAAUGGGUGAAAGCCUGAUGCAGCGGCGCCGCGUGAGGGAUGGAGGCCUUCGGGUUGUAAACCUCUUUCGCUCAUGGUCAAGCCGCAACUGUGGGUUGUGGUGAGGGUAGUGGGUAAAGAAGCGCCGGCUAACUACGUG
rnacentral:rRNA from 1 species